rnacentral:rRNA from 1 species
GGUUGUUCGUCAGCUCGUGUCGUGAGAUGUUGGGUUAAGUCCCGCAACGAGCGCAACCCUUGAUCUUAGUUGCCAGCAUUCAGUUGGGCACUCUAAGGUGACUGCCGGUGACAAACCGGAGGAAGGUGGGGAUGACGUCAAAUCAUCAUGCCCCUUAUGACCUGGGCUACACACGUGCUACAAUGGACAGAACAAAGGGCAGCGAAACCGCGAGGUUAAGCCAAUCCCACAAAUCUGUUCUCAGUUCGGAUCGCAGUCUGCAACUCGACUGCGUGAAGCUGGAAUCGCUAGUAAUCGCGGAUC